rnacentral:rRNA from 1 species
GAUGAACGCUGGCGGCGUGCCUAAUACAUGCAAGUCGAGCGAACAGACGAGGAGCUUGCUCCUCUGACGUUAGCGGCGGACGGGUGAGUAACACGUGGAUAACCUACCUAUAAGACUGGGAUAACUUCGGGAAACCGGAGCUAAUACCGGAUAAUAUAUUGAACCGCAUGGUUCAAUAGUGAAAGACGGUUUUGCUGUCACUUAUAGAUGGAUCCGCGCCGCAUUAGCUAGUUGGUAAGGUAACGGCUUACCAAGGCGACGAUGCGUAGCCGACCUGAGAGGGGGAUCGGCGACACUGGAACUGAGACACGGUCCAGACUCCUACGGGAGGCAGCAGUAGGGAAUCUUCCGCAAUGGGCGAAAGCCUGACGGAGCAACGCCGCGUGAGUGAUGAAGGUCUUCGGAUCGUAAAACUCUGUUAUUAGGGAAGAACAAAUGUGUAAGUAACUAUGCACGUCUUGACGGUACCUGAUCAGAAAGCCACGGCUAACUACGUG